rnacentral:rRNA from 1 species
GAUGAACGCUAGCGGCAGGCCUAAUACAUGCAAGUCGAACGGGAUCUGAGGGUAGCUUGCUACCCGAUUUGAGAGUGGCGCACGGGUGCGUAACGCGUGAGCAACCUACCCAUAUCAGGGGGAUAGCCCGAAGAAAUUCGGAUUAACACCGCAUAAUAAUACGCUAACACAUGUUGAUGUAUUUAAAUAUUUAUAGGAUAUGGAUGGGCUCGCGUGACAUUAGCUAGUUGGUAAGGUAACGGCUUACCAAGGCGACGAUGUCUAGGGGCUCUGAGAGGAGAAUCCCCCACACUGGUACUGAGACACGGACCAUACUCCUACGGGGGGCAGCAGUAAGGAGUAUUGGUCAAUGGGCGCAAGCCUGAACCAGCCAUGCCGCGUGCAGGAUGACUGCCCUAUGGGUUGUAAACUGCUUUUGUUAGGGAAUAAACCUUCUUACGUGUGAGGAGCUGAAUGUACCUAAAGAAUAAGGAUCGGCUAACUCCGCGCCAGCCGCCGCGGUAA